rnacentral:ncRNA from 1 species
UUAAGCUUGCGCCCAUGAACCGCCUCCAGUCCACACUUCGACGUCGCCGCUCGCUUCCCGUCCCGGAUGCCGCCGGCUCGUCACGGACUCGCGCCUAACCCGCUUCCCUGUUACGCGCAAGCUGUUCGAACCAUCCAGCCACGGCAUGCACCGUGGCUUUUUU